AAUCAACGCUGGCGGCGUGCCUCAGACAUGCAAGUCGAACGAUUAAAGCUCUCUUCGGAGAGUGCAUAAAGUGGCGCACGGGUGAGUAACACGUAAGUAAUCUACCUCUGAGUGGGGAAUAACGUCCGGAAACGGACGCUAAUACCGCAUAAUGCAGCGGCAUCAUAAGAUGACAGUUGUUAAAGAUUUAUCGCUUAGAGAGGAGCUUGCGGCAGAUUAGGCAGUAGGUAAGGUAAUGGCUUACCAAGCCUGCGAUCUGUAACCGGUCUUAGAGGACCGUCGUUCACACUGACACUGAAUAACGGGUCAGACUCCUACGGGAGGCAGCAGUCGGGAAUUUUGGGCAAUGGGCGAAAGCCUGACCCAGCAACGCCGCGUGAAGGAUGAAGUAUUUCGGUAUGUAAACUUCGAAAGAAUGGGAAGAAUCAAUGACGGUACCAUUUAUCAGGUCCGGCUAACUACGUGCCAGCAGCCGCCGUAAUAC
rnacentral:rRNA from 1 species